rnacentral:rRNA from 1 species
AAAGGAAUUGACGGGGGCCCGCACAAGCAGUGGAGUAUGUGGUUUAAUUCGAAGCAACGCGAAGAACCUUACCAGGGCUUGACAUCCCUUGAAUACGGUGGAAACAUCGGAGCCCUUCGGGGCAAGGAGACAGGUGGUGCAUGGUUGUCGUCAGCUCGUGUCGUGAGAUGUUGGGUUAAGUCCCGCAACGAGCGCAACCCCUGCUAUUAGUUGCCAGCGAGCAAGACGGGCACUCUAAUAGGACUGCCGGCGACAAGUCGGAGGAAGGUGGGGACGACGUCAAAUCAUCAUGCCCCUUAUGUCCUGGGCUACACACGUACUACAAUGACUAUUACAGAGGGAAGCGAAGUCGCAAGGCGGAGCAAAUCCCCAAAAAUAGUCCCAGUUCGGAUUGUGGGCUGCAACUCGCCCGCAUGAAGUCGGAAUUGCUAGUAAUGGCAGGUCAGCAUACUGCCGUGAAUACGUUCCCGGGCCUUGUACACACCGCCCGU